rnacentral:tRNA from 1 species
UGAGAGAUCGUCCAAUUGGCAGGACUGCGGAUUCUGACUCCGCCAAUCGUGGUUCAAAUCCACGUCUCUCAG